rnacentral:rRNA from 1 species
CUUAUGAUUUGGGCUACACACGUGCUACAAUGGCGUAAACAAAGGGAAGCGAGAUUGUGAGAUGGAGCAAAUCCCAAAAAUAACGUCCCAGUUCGGACUGUAGUCUGCAACCCGACUACACGAAGCUGGAAUCGCUAGUAAUCGCGGAUCAGAAUGCCGCGGUGAAUACGUUCCCGGGUCUUGUACACACCGCCCGUCACACCAUGGGAGUCAGUAACGCCCGAAGUCAGUGACCUAACUGCAAAGAAGGAGCUGCCGAAGGCGGGACCGAUGACUGGGGUGAAGUCGUAACAAGGUAGCCGUAUCGGAAGGUGCGGCUGGAUCACCUCCUUUCUAAGGAA